rnacentral:tRNA from 1 species
GGGUCGUUAGCUCAGUUGGUAGAGCAGUUGACUUUUAAUCAAUUGGUCGCAGGUUCGAAUCCUGCACACCCA